UUUUUCAAUGUAGUGGAAUAA
rnacentral:piRNA from 1 species